rnacentral:sRNA from 1 species
UGGUGGAUCUUCGCUCUGAAAUUGGAUCCAUAAAGGCAAAGGUUUGUAGAGAGAUCCUCAAACCAAAGAAGCUAUGCCUUACCAACCGUUUAAAACUAUAGAAGAACUGGACCGUUUCGACCAUAGCUUGAAGGAUGAAAGUUUCUUUAAAAAUGUGAUUGUACAGAUUAAUGAUGUCGGCCGAAAAGGCAUUUGAUAAAGGUAUUCGGAGCUCUUCGCGAUCCAUUAUCGCUAAUGAUGCCAAAAGGUGAAUAAAGGGCUUGCGGGUUAUUCUAGCCAUCCGUACGAGAUUUAAUGAAAUAUUUUCUUUGGAAGACGGUGAUUUUGACCGGGCA